rnacentral:rRNA from 1 species
CGGCGCGCUUAACAAUGCAAGUCGAGCGAGAAAGGGGAGCAAUCCCUGAGUACAGCGGCGUACGGGUGAGUAACACGUGGGUGAUCUACCUUCUAGUGGGGGAUAACCCUGGGAAACCGGGGCUAAUACCGCAUAAGCCUGAGAAGGGAAAGCAGCAAUGCGCUGGAAGAAGAGCCCGCGGCCGAUUAGCUAGUUGGUGAGGUAACGGCUCACCAAGGCGGUGAUCGGUAGCCGGCCUGAGAGGGCACACGGCCACACUGGCACUGAAACACGGGCCAGACUCCUACGGGAGGCAGCAGUGGGGAAUCUUGCACAAUGGAGGCAACUCUGAUGCAGCGACGCCGCGUGAGCGAUGAAGCCCUUCGGGGUGUAAAGCUCUUUCGGCAGGGACGAUAAUGACGGUACCUGAAGAAGAAGCUGCGGCUAACUACGU